rnacentral:ncRNA from 1 species
AAAGGUUUGGUCCUAGCCCUUCUAUUAGCUUCUAGUAAGAUUAUACAUGCAAGUCUCCGCACUCCGGUGAGAAUGCCCUCUGGAUCACCUAAACGACCCAGAGGAGCGGGUAUCAAGCACGCCACAAAGCAGCUCAAAACACCUUGCCUAGCCACACCCCCACGGGACACAGCAGUGAUAAAAAUUAAGCCAUGAACGAAAGUUUGACUAAGCUAUACUAGUAAUUAGGGUUGGUAAAUUUCGUGCCAGCCACCGCGGUCAUACGAUUAACCCAAGUUAAUAGACAAACGGCGUAAAACGUGUUAAGGGACUCAUCACAUAAUUGAUAAAGUUAAAUCAAAACUGUGCCGUAGAAAGCUUCAGCCCAGAUAAAAAUAAACCACGAAGGUGACUUUAAAUUAACCCGACCACACGAUAGCUAAGACAUAAACUGGGAUUAGAUACCCCACUAUACUUAGCCCUAAACCAAAAUAGCUAAUAUAACAAUGCUAUUCGCCAGAGUACUACUAGCAACAGCUUAAAACUCAAAGGACUUGGCGGUGCUUUAUAUCCCUCUAGAGGAGCCUGUUCUAUAAUCGAUACACCCCGAUAAACCUCACCAACUCUAGCUAAUACAGCCUAUAUACCGCCAUCUUCAGCAAACCCUAAAAAGGAACUACAGUAAGCAAGAACAUCAACCAUAAAAACGUUAGGUCAAGGUGUAGCCUAUGAGUUGGAAAGAAAUGGGCUACAUUUUCUAACAUAGAAUAUAACGAAAAUUUUCGUGAAACCGAAAAUAGAAGGAGGAUUUAGUAGUAAACUAAGAAUAGAGAGCUUAGUUGAAUAAGGCCAUGAAGCACGCACACACCGCCCGUCACCCUCCUCAAGCGCAAAAAUGCAUAUACAUAUAAUCUAUUAACGACGCAUACACACGUAAGAGGAGACAAGUCGUAACAAGGUAAGCGUACUGGAAAGUGCGCUUGGACAAAC